GCCUAGGUAGUGCAAACAGUUAAAGCUCUUGGCUGCUAACCAAAAGAUUGGAGGUUUGGGUCCUCCCAAAGGUG
rnacentral:tRNA from 1 species